AAGUCGUAACAAGGUUUCCGUAGGUGAACCUGCGGAAGGAUCAUUAACACGUAUCCAAACGUUAAAACCCCCCCCCGUGAAUCUUCAUCCUGCUCUUGUAACCCGCGUAGUUCGCAAUCUCUGAUAAAUCAUAGCCCGGAAAGUUGUCAUGCCCCCUAAUAAAUGUGAAGCUCAAUGUAAUACAUUGGGUAAAAAAACCGAACAACUGUUAACAAUGGAUAUCUUGGUUCUC
rnacentral:misc_RNA from 1 species